CAGAAUUUAUAACCUUUGCAUGACUGUAGUAACAAUAAAUUUGCUUUCAGCUUGUGAGUCACAGAAGGCGUAAAAGACAUAAAUAGAAUGGUUCUGAUGUCUUUCACCUCUGCUAUUAGCUGUGGUUUUACUGAGAACAAGCAGCUCAAACUGUCAGUUCAUGCGUUCAGAUCAUUCUUUGCUUCUUCAGUGGAAUCUGGAUAGUUUCAUUUUGCAGCUUCAUCAUGUUUCAACACUUGUUUCUCAUCGUGUAUUGUUUUUAUCAGAUUCAAGCACAAGGUCAGUUUGUCAUGUCCUAUAUUCACAUCUGUCACAUUUGUCUGAUUAUUUUACUUUGUAGCUUCACUUCUUUCAUAUACGUUAAAACACAAUUUCUCCUUUUUCGCAGCGCUUCCUUCAGCUAAUCUAAUAGUGAAUAAACACACGAUCACAGAGUCAGACUCAGUUACGCUGCAUUGUCAGACUCCGUCAUCUAUUGCUGUGGAUCAGUGUUAUUUCUAUACUGAUCGAGGACAAACUCCUAAAAUCUUCCCCUGCCUGCAGACACUGACAGGAACUGAUCUACUGUCUAUGUCACAGCAGCGUCCACCUGCUAAUGUUGAAGUCAAGUGUUUUUAUACUGUAAAGUAUAAAGACACACGUUCUCCGUCUCCACACAGUGACUCAGUCUCCAUCGCUGUACACAGUAAGCAGCUGCCUUUAGAUUUGAUGGGAUUGAUUGUUCCCCUUGAAUCACAGUAAAAACAUUUUGAGUAGUGACAAUCUGACCUGAAUAAUUUAAGCAUAAUGUGCUUGAUACCAGAAUGUCCAAUAUAUUUAUUGUCUUUAUUUUUUGAAGGUCAAAAACCACAGAUGAGCUGUUCUGACUUGGGUGACCACUUUGUCUUAACUUGCUCUUUGCCUGAAUCUGUUGAACGUGGUACAAAAUGUAACUUGUACAUUGGAGAAGCAGAUCAUCCAGUCUCAGUACCAACCACCAUGAAGAAAACCACCUCAAGAAUACAGCAGUUGUGUCAGUUUUAUAUCACGAGAGACGUUUUGCUGAAACUCCUACAAUUAGUUCAGCUAAAGGAGGCCAGCUGUGAUUACAGCCUGGAACAUGAACCCAACUUUGCUUCUGCUCGUAGUGAUGGAUGCAGCUUGACUGAUUCAUUUUCUGGUAUAAAAACACAAGGUCUGGUUCCACCUGAGCUGACAGUGACUCCACUGGUGAUCACAGAGUCAGACUCAGUCACUGUGAACUGUCAGACUCCAUCAUCUGUUCCUGUGUCUCAGUGUCACUUCACUGUGACGGGACAUUUACGUCUUGGAGACUCGUCUUGUCUUCAGACAGUGACAGGAGCUGAUCUGUUGCACAUGACAGGUCAGAGGUCACCUGCUGAGGUCAAACUUACAUGUUAUUACACUGUGAAGCUUGGAGAGAGAGAGUCUACAUCCACAGACAGUCAAACAUCAUCCAUCACCAUAAACUCUCUUCACCAGCCUGAGCUGACAGUGACUCCACUGGUGAUCACAGAGUCAGACUCAGUCACUGUGAACUGUCAGACUCCAUCAUCUGUUCCUGUCUAUCAGUGUUGGCUCUACUCAGUGAGGGAUCAAACCUCCAGAGUCGUCUCUUGUCAUCAGACACUGACAGGAACUGAGCUGAUGAAAAUGACUCAAAGUUCACCUGUUGAGAUUGAAGUUACAUGUUAUUACAGUGUAGAGCGAAGAGGAACUAUAUCUCUGUCUCAAUUCAGUAACUCUAUCAUCAUACAGAGUAAGUAGCUACUGGGAUACGUUUUAUUACAGCUUAUUACAAUAUUAACUAGUAUCAAAUUCGUACCAUCACCUGCUUCA
rnacentral:lncRNA from 1 species